rnacentral:rRNA from 1 species
CUGAAAUGAAUCCCAGCCCUACCAUGCAGUCGAACGGUAACAGGAAGCAGCUUGCUGCUUUGCUGACGAGUGGCGGACGGGUGAGUAAUGUCUGGGAAACUGCCUGAUGGAGGGGGAUAACUACUGGAAACGGUAGCUAAUACCGCAUAACGUCUUCGGACCAAAGAGGGGGACCUUCGGGCCUCUUGCCAUCGGAUGUGCCCAGAUGGGAUUAGCUUGUUGGUGGGGUAACGGCUCACCAAGGCGACGAUCCCUAGCUGGUCUGAGAGGAUGACCAGCCACACUGGAACUGAGACACGGUCCAGACUCCUACGGGAGGCAGCAGUGGGGAAUAUUGCACAAUGGGCGCAAGCCUGAUGCAGCCAUGCCGCGUGUAUGAAGAAGGCCUUCGGGUUGUAAAGUACUUUCAGCGGGGAGGAAGGCGAUGAGGUUAAUAACCUUGUCCAUUGACGUUACCCGCAGAAGAAGCACCGGCUAACUCCGUGCCAGCAGCCGCGGUAAUACGGAGGGUGCAAGCGUUAAUCGGAAUUACUGGGCGUAAAGCGCACGCAGGCGGCGUGUCAAGUCGGAUGUGAAAUCCCCGGGCUCAACCCGGGAACUGCAUUCGAAACUGGCAUGCUAGAGUCUUGUAGAGGGGGGUAGAAUUCCAGGUGUAGCGGUGAAAUGCGUAGAGAUCUGGAGGAAUACCGGUGGCGAAGGCGGCCCCCUGGACAAAGACUGACGCUCAGGUGCGAAAGCGUGGGGAGCAAA